UUUCUUUUCUGUUUUACACUAGGUAUCACUCCAAUGCUGCAGCUGAUCCGUCACAUUACUCAGGAUCCUAACGAUGACACAAAAUGUUAUCUUAUCUUUGCUAAUCAGACUGAAGAGGACAUUCUGUUGCGUGCAGAACUGGAGGCUGCAGCCAAGAGUCACCCGGAUCAGUUUAAGCUGUGGUACACUCUGGACCGGACUCCUCAAGGUAAGACCAAGCAGGGUUAUUUAAUCAAAAAUUGGCAUGCUGUGUUGAUUUUAAAGGUGUUGUAACCUAAAAUCAAGUGGCACCCCAAGUGGAUCUUUUGAAGCACUAGUCUACAUGUUUUGUAACCAUCCUGGUCCAUUGCACCCCCUAGUUCUUCUCUCCUCUUGUGAUGGUAGCAAGGGUUUCAGGUAGGCCACAGAAAUACAUUGGGGGCUUGUCUGAUUUUUUUUUUGAUUGUGGCAGAUAAAAGUAAUUAGACUUGUCAAACAAACUAGUGGCACUCCCAUCCUCCAAUGUCAUGCAUCAGUUUAAUGGGUGAUAGAGAGCUGCCCUGCUGUUUGAACCUUUGAAUUACUCUUCAAUCUAGAGUCCAGCUCUGAAUGAAUACCUUAUUUCUUUGGGCCGAAUAUACACGGUAUGGUAGUUGACAAACUAUGCCAGAUUAAGGAGGUCACCUUGUCAUGGUGGAAUGACCCAGUUAUUUAUUGAAUGUUACAGAAUUUUCAGGAAAGUGUUAGCUUUGUAACAGCUGCAACAGUUGGGCGAAACUGGCAAUUCUUGUGGUGGUAUCUCA